rnacentral:rRNA from 1 species
UACGUAGGGUGCGAGCGUUAAUCGGAAUUACUGGGCGUAAAGCGUGCGCAGGCGGUCCGUUAAGACAGUUGUGAAAUCCCCGGGCUUAACCUGGGAACUGCAAUUGUGACUGACGGGCUAGAGUGUGUCAGAGGGGGGUGGAAUUCCACGUGUAGCAGUGAAAUGCGUAGAGAUGUGGAGGAACACCGAUGGCGAAGGCAGCCCCCUGGGAUAACACUGACGCUCAUGCACGAAAGCGUGGGGAGCAAACAGG